UUGAAGAAGAAGAAAUAGAGACAGGGAGUUAAGGGACUCGCCAAAGGUCACAGAGCUGAUGCGAGGCAGACCUGGGAUUGGCACACUGUCUGGCUCUGGGGUCUGUGGUCAUAACCACGGCAGCACCUGCAUGUGGCUGAAAUUUCUGAAAUGUUGCUAUGUAUAUUUAAGGGUCUUUUCUUUAUCAAAAUACUUCAACAUGGUGAUUUAUUCCCACACACAGAGUAUAUUUGUAUAUAUCAUCUCCUUUCAGUGUAAAGACGGAUGUAACUAUCAGAGACUCAGACUGCUUGGGUUACUGUCCUCAAGGCAUAUACUAGAGUCCCAGAAUCCCUUUGCCGAGUACUCGGCAGUGCCUCUGCUGGAGAGUGGGGGGUCUCCUGUGGAUGUAGCUGAGGACAGGGGUGUGAAACUAAGCACUGGGACUCCUGCUUUGUGCACUCCCGUCACAUCAGGGUGACAAGGUGUUCCAGCUCCUGAGACCCCCUUCAUAACACGAAAGUCCCCUCACCCUACUUCCCGUGGAAGAAUGGCCUUGACAACACACCAAAAACCAUCCCCCACGCUAUCCCCUUUCUGUGCCCUGAAGCUUACAAUGUCAGAAGACUCUGCAUGCCGCUGAGCUAUACGUCACACCUACUCACUCCCAGAGCACAAACUCUGUGUGGAGUGAAGAAAUCCACUGAUGACAGACCAACAGAAUCAGUAAACAUGAGAUCUGAAAGGACCACAGACUCCGACAAUACCUCAGUGUAAUAUUUCUGUGAUGACCAGAAGCCACUGUCAAAUGAAACCACACUAUCUGUUUUUAAUAGGCAUGGGUUUGUUAUCUUGGCACGAACAACUCUAUUACAGCCACGCAUUUAUUUCUUGCUAAGUUUGCUUUGUCUACCCCAUGGAGGAGUGAAUAUGUGCUAAUUACUAUCUCACUGUCUAGUCUAAUGAUAAGACUUCAAGUUCUGGAAAGAAUGCAAAAUGCAAAGAUACAAGGUAAAUCCAGGUUCUGUUAGUCUGAGGCUUAUACAAUUUGGGGAUGCUAUUUGAGAAAAUAGAGAGGUAAUUCAAUCUUUCAUUUAACUUGGUUAGUCCAAAUUUCUUUUUUAUUACUGAUAGCUUUCUUUCAUCUUCACAACUCACUACAGGAUAUAUCAUACACAUUUUUAGAACUGUCAAGUUUGGGCAACCCAAAAUUUCCCUUAUAUGCGAGCUAUAUGAUUUCAGUGUUUUUCAACUUUUCUUGCAUGGAAACUAAUCUUAAAUAUUCUGAACUGAUGCCACUCAUUAACUAGCUUGAGGAAAGUCCCCUGUGGUAGUGGCUUACUGGCAUAUAUCUAUGACAUACUAGAUUAUUUUCAUUGAUGUCAGAAGUUUAUCUAAAAAUAGCAAGAAAUUAAAAUCUUUUCCCUAUGGGUUCAUAUGCAUCACUUCUCUGCAUUAAUUGGCUUAUCAAACAAUCUGAGAACUACUUAAAAUUUAUGUUUUUCUCUUAAUGAAUUAUUGUUUUUGGUACAACAUACGUUCUGUUUGGAAAUGCCAGACUGCUGCAGGACAAGAUAACAGACGUGUUAAGACAUGGUUGAAUAUGUUGAGAGGCAAAAUACAUUCAACUCCACACACAGACUACUUGCUUAUUGAAGUGCUACUACAGGUUGCUGUCCUACAAAGGAAAAAAAUGCUGAUAAGUUUUGUUUUACAUAAUUCACAUGAAAAAACAAAUCAAUAUACGGGUGCAUUAUUAAUGAGAGAACACAACCUUCCUCUUAGAAUUUUCUUGAACAACCAACACAUCACAUAAUUUUUAUAUACCCAAGAAUUUACCAGAGACUUACUCUGGCUCCACAUAUUCCUGACUUUGUGUCUCCUCUUUUUUCUCCUAACAUGUUUCCCACAUGAUGCAUUCACAACAUGUUCAUAUCAUGCAAUCGCUGGACCUCCGUGUAAUGUCCUUGGUUAGGUCAGCACAGUCAGCGGGAAGAGUGAACCACAAAAUGCAUCACCCUAAACUCAUACUCAGUGUAUUUCCACAUCAAUGUUCCCUCGGCCGGAUCCCAGAACUGCCAAGUGCCACUCUAAUUCCACUGGACAUGGGGAAUGAGAUGGGAGGGAAGUCAGAAUAUAAAGAGGCAGCAGCAUAUCUGAAUGCAGCUAAAAUAUCUACUUUCGCAAAUUUUAUGAAGGUACAUGCCAUGUGAACCCCCUGCCUAGGCCCUCCCAGGUGUUUGGUCUUGAUGGCAAAUCCAUCUCUGUAUAGACAUAACCAAAUGCACUGGGAUCAAUCAGGUGUUGUAUUAGCCUUUCCUGAUGCACCCUGGAUAAGGUCUCUCUCUGUUAAUCACUGGCAAUAUUAUCCUGUAAAAGAAAGAAGAAGCCUGGCUAAAACAUUCAACUGUCCUCAUUACAAAAUAUUACAAAGAAAUAGCCUUUUUGACUUGGGCAAAAGCAGCAACAAAUUCGCUGAGGAUGUAACCAAAAUAUAUUCCUGUAGUGUAAACUAAAUGUGUUUAAAGCUCACUGUAUCCUGUAAUCAUCAGAUAACUCCAGUCAAGACUGACGGAAACAUAAUAUGCAGCGUGUGCAUCUAUGCAGGUUUUUGUAAGGUUUCAGAAAGAACUAAGAUUAUUAUUCAUAUAUAAAAAGUACUGCAGGUUUUAUCUCCAGAUUAUAUAUGUCUUAAGCCAUUAUAUUUGCAAAGAUUAAGCAAACAAAUGCAAACGCUGACUUGCUUAGUGCUAGGCAUUAUUGUCAAGAUGAGGCAAAGGGAAUAUGUUUUCAUAAGAAAGCUUUUAAGUAUAUAAAGAAGUAAGUAAUAAUCUCAUCUGAUGUUCAGUAAAGAUGAAGUGAUAUAAGAGCACGUAUAUAUACAUAACGCUCCUUAGAUAUUGGUAACUCUGACAGUCAUAGAACUAACUCUAUGACCUUGAACUUUGGACGAAAGAUCAAAGACAGAGAGUUAAGCUGUAUAGUUCCACUAUUUUCCUCUAAUUAUUAUUGGGAAUUAUCACAGUUAUGUUAUAUAAUUACCCAAACUGCUUCCAGUAUAACGUCUUAGUAAGAUGAGAGUGAACAAGUACUGUUGUGCACCCAGCUUGAGUCUACCUGCCAUGUUAUGCUUUUGUUACUGCUGACACAAUACCUGACUUCUGCUUGUCCCAAGGAGUUAGUGAUGGCAUUAGUGAUCCUGCAGAUUCUGUCUUGGCCCCUUAAGAGUAAGUCUAAGGCAAUUCCAUCAACCAUAGCAACUCUGGCCACUGAGCUGACGAUGACUUGAUAGCCUUCCAGGGCGACGCCAGUGAUUAUUUCAGUUAAAGUCAGGGACAUAUUAAUACCACUUUCCUAACUAGAUGACUCCCAGCAUGUGGAUAACUUCCCACAGAGGGCGGGCCACCAAAGGCAGCCUCAUUUUAGGAUGUCCCCCUAAGGGCUCUGUGCUCUAUUGCUGGUGUUUCCUUAAACUAUUAUGAGCACCCAUCUGGUGUAAGGAGGAGGGGAGCAAGUUAAUGCUUGACUUUCAUGGACUGGGGAGCACAUGGGGAACCUCUGAAAAUAGUGUUAGUUCCAGCUGUUGGAGCUUCUAAGUCAGACUCAACUUGAAUGGGGAGGUGUAUUUUGACAAUAUAUAUGACCUGCUGGCCAGCUGGUAAAAUUCCAGAUUUAUAGCUCUGGCUGAAUAAGUUAAGCCCUUGGUUUUGGAGGAACUGCCUGAGAGCCAUCAGUCCACCUGCCCCAUUUGUCGAUACCAUAGCCAGUCUGGGGCCUUUCCCUGCCAUUUCCAACAAAUUUCUCCAUAACUUAAGGGGGUAGCAACCUGAUCCAGUCAGAUCCGUCUAAUGACAGAUGGCAUAUCCAGUAGUCAGUUAAAUUUAAGGUGCUUAGGAUAAUUUGAUUGAACGGCAUUGGGUUAUUUUCCUUCACAAAAAGACACCAGGGGUGACUCUAAAGGGCAAAUGUCCCUCACCUCUCCAAGCUUCCUUGGGUCUGAGGUGUCCCCACACAGUGCUGAGGUGGCUGAUCCCCACACCAUCACAAACUGGCACACUCCAUGUCUUGUUUUCCAAUGUCCUCGACUCCAGACCUUUUCUCUGAUGGGUCAGGUGUAAGCAGUACAAGGACAUUUUUAUAAAAUGUAUAGGCAUCCAUUAGGACGACCACUUUGGCCUGUGUGAGGACAGGUUCAUACUGUGGUCUUAAUCAGAGAACAGGUCCACACUGGGCACUCUGUGGUUCAAUGAGCAGAAUGCUCAGCUGUGACCAUUUUCCUAAUGAUCCAGGUCAAUGGCAACCCCACAAGAGAAUCUAGGUGGCUGAAUCAAAAUUAGAUUUGAACCCACAGGGUGCUGGAGGGUGCACCAACCAGGUGGGCCUGGGGGUGCCACUGGGUAAAGAAAGAAGCUUUAUGUCCAGGAAUGACGGGGGUGGACUGUCAAAUUUUCAAAACAGGUCUACAUAUUUAUUUAACUCCUCAUUCUGACCAUUACGCAGGGAGUGGACAGAAGACGAUCCAUCUCUUGGGACAACUCCAUUCAGUGACUGAAGUAUCCUACUAAAGCAUGUGUACCAGGAGGAGGUAAAAGAUUUUUCUGAGUCAGUUUUGAAGAGAUCAUGCCAAUGCUUAGUAAUGCCUGUUGCCUAUGGAUUAUAGGCAGCGUGGAAGUUCCAUCAGUUCAUACUUGGGUGGUUGGUUUUGAGAUCAAAAGUGUACCUUUGUCAGAUGGCAAACAUGAACCAAAAGUGUGUUUCAAGGGCCCAUGGGACGGCUGAAGUGAGCUGAUCAGAAUGAAGUGGUAACACCGUAACCUGAAGCAGUGUCAGCAGUGAUGAAGCACCAUUCGCCAACAGCCUCAAGAGGAGACCAAAGGUCCCAUGUGAUCAGUCUUCCUGGAACAGGUGGUGGUAACGCCCUGUGCAAAAAAAUGUCCCUGUGAUAUAGGUGGGUCUUGAAUCUGGCAUGCAGUGGUAGCUCGGUGGCAGAAACAGAGCAGUUCGCCUUUUCGCUUUGUGCCCAGUCCACGAUGGUGGACAUAUUGCCAUGUACAGUAUGAAGAUGGGUCCAGGCAGCCAUGGUGGUUCCAUCAGUAGCUUGAGUCCAGUCGGUCUAGUCAAAGAACAAACCUGUAUGGCCCAUAUGUGGGCACCUAUACGACCUAAAGUAAGAGUCAGGAAAAUUAUAACAAGGUUUAUUAAGAGGAGUAUUGGCCAGAACUGAGAAUGGCCUUGAGUUACGCCUGCUGAAAGGAACAAUCAUGAUCAUUUUCAUUUCUGCCAAGUUGGAGUGGGGACUGUCCACUGGACACCACUGGACCUCAGCCUGAUUUUCAGAGAACCAGGCCCUGGUGUAGGCGCGCAGGGAAACCUUUAUAGAUUGGGGUCCCCAGAGAACUACCAGCUUUGUCUCAGGUAGCAGAGUGGGAGAUAAAUUUCCCCUAAUGGACAGUUGUCAGUUUUUCAUGAAAAGCUGCAAUGCCACUGGGGUUAGGCUAGAUAUGUCCCUGAAAAUUUUACUGCCAUUUGACCAGGAAAGCUUCUUGGACCCUUCCCAUGUCUUAGUCACUGAGUCUAAGUUGGCGCAUGCCAAAAUGUUGGCUUUAGGCCCAAGAAUCACAAGGCCUCUUUGGAUCAGGCACUCAGUUUUGCAAAGAAUCUAGCUGUAGGCUAAUAGCUGCUUUGCAAAAGGUUUUUCUUACAGCUGAAUCAGAGAGGUAUGAGAACAAAACUCCAAGGGGUGCUUCUAGGAAGAGGAUGCCACCCUUUCCAGGUUCCAGUUAUUAAAACCACAAGUCACAGAGAGUUGGAGGUCAAGGCGUCACAAAGCGUAUGGGGCCUCCAGGGUAGAGCGUGAACUAAAGCUUGCUGGAUGACUUCCAACACAACCUGUUGGUUUGGGUCCCACCCCAAGGAGGCUGGUUUGUGGGUUAUGUGAAAGAUAAGAUCAAGGAGAAGUCUCAAGCGGGGCACAUAGUGUUCCCAAAAUCCAAAGAAUAAGGAAGGCACUGGGCCUGCCUUUUAGUGGUGAGGACAAAGAGGCAGAAGUCUUUUCUUGUCUGAGUGAUCUUGAGAAGUGCAGCCACCAAAUGUAAGAACAACCCUUAGCAGGGCUGGUUCUGAAGAGCAAGAGAGCACUGGGACAG
rnacentral:lncRNA from 1 species